rnacentral:sRNA from 1 species
GCCGGGUGUGGUGGCACACACCUGUAAUCUCAGUGGCUUGGGAGGCUGAGGCAGGAGGCAGGAGGCAGGAGGAUCGAGGGUUCAGAGCCAGCCUUAGCAACUUAGCAAGGCCCUAAGCAACUCAUUGAGAUCCUGUCUCUA